rnacentral:rRNA from 1 species
UUCGGGGCUCCUUGGUGAAUCAUAAUAACUUAACGAAUCGCAUGGCCUUGCGCCGGCGAUGGUUCAUUCAAAUUUCUGCCCUAUCAACUUUCGAUGGUAGGAUAGUGGCCUACCAUGGUAUCAACGGGUAACGGGGAAUUAGGGUUCGACUCCGGAGAGGGAGCCUGAGAAACGGCUACCACAUCCAAGGAAGGCAGCAGGCGCGCAAAUUACCCAAUCCCGACACGGGGAGGUAGUGACAAUAAAUACUGAUACAGGGCUCUUUUGGGUCUUGUAAUUGGAAUGAGUACAAUUUAAAUCCCUUAACGAGGAACAAUUGGAGGGCAAGUCUGGUGCCAGCAGCCGCGGUAAUUCCAGCUCCAAUAGCGUAUAUUAAAGUUGUUGCAGUUAAAAAGCUCGUAGUUGAACCUUGGGCCUGGCUGGCCGGUCCGCCUCACCGCGUGUACUGGUCCGGCCGGGCCUUUCCUUCUGGGGAACCUCAUGCCCUUCACUGGGCGUGUUGGGGAACCAGGACUUUUACUUUGAAAAAAUUAGAGUGUUCAAAGCAGGCCUUUGCUCGAAUACAUUAGCAUGGAAUAAUAGAAUAGGACGUGUGGUUCUAUUUUGUUGGUUUCUAGGACCGCCGUAAUGAUUAAUAGGGAUAGUCGGGGGCAUCAGUAUUCAAUCGUCAGAGGUGAAAUUCUUGGAUUGAUUGAAGACUAACUACUGCGAAAGCAUUUGCCAAGGAUGUUUUCAUUAAUCAGUGAACGAAAGUUAGGGGAUCGA